rnacentral:rRNA from 1 species
UACAGAGGUCUCAAGCGUUGUUCGGAUUCAUUGGGCGUAAAGGGUGCGUAGGUGGCGCCGUAAGUCAGGUGUGAAAUCGUCGGAGCUCAACUCCGAAACUGCACUUGAUACUGCGGUGCUCGAGUACUGGAGAGGAGAUUGGAAUUUACGGUGUAGCAGUGAAAUGCGUAGAUAUCGUAAGGAAGACCAGUGGCGAAGGCGAAUCUCUGGACAGUUACUGACACUGAGGCACGAAGGCCAGGG